rnacentral:lncRNA from 1 species
AUGUGGAGAAUUUCUUUAGCCAAAGCUCUGGCUUCAUUGAACACUAGAGAAUUCACACUAGAGCUAGGCCUCAUGUGCAUGGUGAAUAUAGGAUGUCGUUUAGCCAGAGCUCCAUCCUUAGUUAAUCACAGAGCGUUCGCACUGGAGCAAAGCCCUGUGAAUUUGGUAAAUAUGGGAAAUCCCUUCAACAGAAAGCCCUGGACUCAAUCAACACUGGAGAGUGCCUGCUGGAGAAAGGCUUCCAUAUUCACUAUAACAACUCAGGAGGAAAGCCUCUGUGAAUGUAAAGGAGGCAUCGAACUCCAUACAUCUGAACAUCCACAGUGGAGAGGUUCCCCACAAAUUCCAGUUCAAAUAAUGUUCUCCUGGAUAAAGAAGAUUAUAAACAAAAUAGCACUGUGAAACAGAGGAUUCAUCUGAUUAGGUCUGCCAAAUUUAGCAUGCCCUGCUUGCUUUUGGUUACCUGCUUUUUAUCUUUUUCUUUUCUUUUUUUUUUUUUUUUCAUGAAGCUGAAAGCCACAGUAAGUGAAGGCUGCACCACUGAACGCUGAAACUUAACCUUCAUUAGCGGCAUAAUAAAUUGAACGUUUAUAAAUCACCAUGGUAAUGGUCACUUCAGUUAUUUUUCAGGAAUGUGGGACAGCUCCUGACCAGUUCAAACUGGUUGACUCUUCAGCUGGGCCUGUGUAAAUGCCGGAGAGCAUUUUGACAUCAGAGGACCAAAAAUUCCACCCUCAGAUCAUAAUACCAUCAUUUUCUGCAAAUGUGUCCUAUGAAAUGCCGUAAAUCCCAACUAUGUUUGCAUAGAUCACUGAUUGCUUCAUUUUUCCCCCACUGACAAUCACCUUUUCCCACAUCUUAGCUGACCCCACUUCUAUAACCUAUAAAUAUCCCUAAGCCUUAACUUCUGGGAGGUGGAGUUGAGACCUGUUCUUCACCUGCUCACUGGCUGCCUCAUGAAUAGUCUUCUCUUUUGCAAAAUCCAUUAUCUCAGUGAUUGACUUGCUGCAGUUGGGCAGAAAGAACCUGGUUGAUGAUCAUUGUAGAAGCUGUAGAUACUCGAUUAUUCACUGUCAUCUGUUGCAUCAGCUAUUCUGUCUCCUCUCUACUUUCAUGUAGACAUAGAUACAGAUAUCUUGUUUGACAUAUUUUAAAGAGCAUUUUUAUUACCCUCCCCAUGAUGUAGAAAUCUCAGUUCAUUGGAAGCCUUCACCUUCAUAAACUCUUCUUCAAAUCUUGUGCAUGUCUUUUCAUCCUUCUACCAAUCUCCAGGUAGUUGGCUCUUUCUUAUUCCCUUCUCAACUCCAGUGUUGCUUCCUUAGAAGCCUCCUUUCACAACUGAUCUCAUGGAAUCCUUCCUUCUCCCCAGUUCAUGUCACUCUACCCCAAUCCUGUCUUAUUAUUUUUGUUUCACUUAUCACUACCUGCAAUAAUUAUUUUUUCUACCUCCUUCAACUAGAAAGUGAGCACCAUGAAGAUAAAAAUAGUACUGUCCCCUUAGGGCCUAUUACUGACCCAAUCACAUACUAGAUAUCAAAUAGAUAUCUGUUGAAUACAGUACUGAUAUUCCAAACAUUAACUGGUACGGCACAGGCAAUAAAUAAUCAGAAGAGACGCCAGAUCUUUCUAGUACUGGGCUAUGUACUUCACAUACAUCUUAAUAUUUAACCGUCAUGAGAACAUUCUAUAAAAACCAUUAUUGCUGUCUUAAGUUUUGUACAACUGAUCUGAAAAAGAUUAAGAAACACCUCUGGUUACAGAUGGUAAGCUGGUAUCCAUGUUUCCUGCUUUAUUUAGGAAGAGCUUUCCUUCCCAUUCUUCAUUCUAAAAC